rnacentral:misc_RNA from 1 species
GAUGAAGAACGUAGCGAAAUGCGAUACGUAAUGUGAAUUGCAAAUUCAGUGAAUCAUCGAGUCUUUGAACGCACAUUGCGCCCCCUGGUAUUCCGGGGGGCAUGCCUGUCCGAGCGUCAUUGCUGCCCUCAAGCACGGUUUGUGUGUUGGGCCCCGUCCUCCGAUCCCGGGGGACGGGCCCGAAAGGCAGCGGCGGCACCGCGUCCGGUCCUCGAGCGUAUGGGGCUUUGUCACCCGCUCUGUAGGCCCGGCCGGCGCUUGCCGAUCAACCCAAAUUUUUAUCCAGGUUGACCUCGGAUCAGGUAGGGAUACCCGCUGAACUUAAGCAUAUCAAUAAGCGGAGGA